AUUGAACGCUGGCGGCAUGCCUUACACAUGCAAGUCGAACGGUAACAGGUCUUCGGAUGCUGACGAGUGGCGAACGGGUGAGUAAUACAUCGGAACGUGCCCGAUCGUGGGGGAUAACGGAGCGAAAGCUUUGCUAAUACCGCAUACGAUCUACGGAUGAAAGCAGGGGACCGCAAGGCCUUGCGCGGACGGAGCGGCCGAUGGCAGAUUAGGUAGUUGGUGGGAUAAAAGCUUACCAAGCCGACGAUCUGUAGCUGGUCUGAGAGGACGACCAGCCACACUGGGACUGAGACACGGCCCAGACUCCGACGGGAGGCAGCAGUGGGGAAUUUUGGACAAUGGGCGCAAGCCUGAUCCAGCCAUGCCGCGUGCAGGAUGAAGGCCUUCGGGUUGUAAACUGCUUUUGUACGGAACGAAAAGACUCUUUCUAAUAAAGAGGGUCCAUGACGGUACCGUAAGAAUAAGCACCGGCUAACUACGUGCCAGCCGCCGCCGUAAAAC
rnacentral:rRNA from 1 species